GACUACUAGGGUAUCUAAUCCUGUUUGCUCCCCACGCUUUCGCGCCUCAGCGUCAGUUAAUGUCCAGCAGGCCGCCUUCGCCACUGGUGUUCCUCCUAAUAUCUACGCAUUUCACCGCUACACUAGGAAUUCCGCCUGCCUCUCCAUCACUCAAGAACUGCAGUUUCAAAUGCAGCUCGGGGGUUAAGCCCCCGCAUUUCACAUCUGACUUGCAAUCCCGCCUACACGCCCUUUACACCCAGUAAAUCCGGACAACGCUUGCCACCUACGUAUUACCGCGGCUGCUGGCACGUAGUUAGCCGUGGCUUGUUUUCGAGGUACCGUCAUUUCUUUCUUCCCUCGUCAAAGAAGUUUACAACCCGAAGGCCUUCUUCCUUCACGCGGCGUUGCUGGGUCAGGGUUUCCCCCAUUGCCCAAUAUUCCCCACUGCAGCCUCCCGUAGG
rnacentral:rRNA from 1 species